rnacentral:lncRNA from 1 species
AGAGCGAGACUUCAUCUCAAAAACAAACAGGAAACCUGUCAGGUUUUUCUGGAGCAACUUGCUUUUUCCUCUUUAACUUUUUGUCAACCUCACUGUCAGGAUCACUGCCAGAAGAGCUUGAAGAAACAAGUUCCUUUGAUUUAGGCAUCGCUUAGCUCAGCUCUAGCAGUCGAACACCCUCCUGCUUGUUCGCUCGCGACUCCUCCCUGCCCUUCAUUUUCAUCCCCUCC